GAGGUGGGAGGAAGAGAAGAAAAGCAUUAUUGAAACACUUUGGAGAUACCCAAGGUUGUUUUAUGGCCAAAGCAAAGCACUGACAGCAUGUUUCUGAAGGAUGUUGUUUUUCAGGCACUACGGCAAUGCUGGGAAUGAUGGGACAAGUCAAAAGCACUUCAUGCUUGCUACACUGCAAAAUGUGGAUAACAGAACAACCCAGCAUCUAGUCAGCCAGGAAUCUGAGCGUUGAAAAAAAAUAUAAGUAAGCCCCCUUUCUAUUUCUUCCGCAAACAAAACUAUUUAUAGAUCAACAAAUACACUUUAGUAGAUUGA